rnacentral:rRNA from 1 species
AUUGAACGCUGGCGGCAGGCUUAACACAUGCAAGUCGAGCGGGGAGAUGUAGCUUGCUACAUUUCCUAGCGGCGGACGGGUGAGUAAUGCUUAGGAAUCUGCCUAUUAGUGGGGGACAACAUUCCGAAAGGAAUGCUAAUACCGCAUACGCCCUACGGGGGAAGGCAGGGGAUCUUCGGACCUUGCGCUAAUAGAUGAGCCUAAGUCAGAUUAGCUAGUUGGUGGGGUAAGGGCCUACCAAGGCGACGAUCUGUAGCGGGUCUGAGAGGAUGAUCCGCCACACUGGGACUGAGACACGGCCCAGACUCCUACGGGAGGCAGCAGUGGGGAAUAUUGGACAAUGGGCGAAAGCCUGAUCCAGCCAUGCCGCGUGUGUGAAGAAGGCCUUUUGGUUGUAAAGCACUUUAAGCGAGGAGGAGGCUACUUGGAUUAAUACUCUAGGAUAGUGGACGUUACUCGCAGAAUAAGCACCGGCUAACUCUGUGCCAGCCGCCGCCGUAA